rnacentral:tRNA from 1 species
GCGCUGGUGCUGGAACUGGCAGACAGGCAUGGUUGAGGCCAUGUGCCGCAAGGCGUGUGGGUUCGAUUCCCACCCAGCGCA